UGGGCCCAGCUCCCGGCGGAGGGCAGGCCGGCGCCUGGGGCGAGGGAGAGGACUCAGCAGCAGCCGUUAGCCCGGCCCGCUGCCCCAGGCUGGAACUCACCUGCGGAGCCAGACCUGUCCUGAGGCCACUGACCGGCCAACAGACCUUCGGACGUCAUUCCCUAGGCCCGAAUUCUGAUGUUAAUUUCUGUUCUCACUGUGUAACACUGACCUGCCAAGAACUCCCUGUAUACACUAGGAUGGCCUUGAAUUCAUGAAGUUCCAUGUGCCUGCUUCUGUCUCCAGAGUGCUGAGAUUUAAAGCGUGCACCUACGUGAUGCAGAGCCCAACAUUAAGUAUUAGUAUUCUUUUCACCAUGAAGAAUAUUACUAAAGAGAUAAGUUAACCCUCUUGUUCAGGUGCCAGAAUAUCUAUGGAAACUGGGCUCCACCAAUUUCCUAUAGCUGGCUAGGUAAGACAGACCCUCUCUAGGGCAUGGUUCCUCAUUCCCUUCUCCAUGAGAGCUAAAUAAAUGAUUAUUUGUUGGUA